rnacentral:rRNA from 1 species
GACGAACGCUGGCGGCGUGCUUAACACAUGCAAGUGGUGCGACGAACCAGGGCUUGCCCUGGGGCCAAGCCGCGAACGGGUGAGUAACACGUGAGUAACCUGCCCCGAUGACCGGGACAACCCGAGGAAACUCGGGCUAAUACCGGAUGUGGUGCACAUACUUAAGUUUGUGUACUAAAGGAAGCUUCGGCCUCCGCAUUGGGAGGGGCUCGCGGCCCAUUAGCUUGUUGGUGGGGUAACGGCCUACCAAGGCUGCGAUGGGUAGCUGGUCUGAGAGGACGAUCAGCCACACUGGGACUGAGACACGGCCCAGACUCCUACGGGAGGCAGCAGUGGGGAAUCUUGCGCAAUGCGCGAAAGCGUGACGCAGCAACGCCGCGUGGGGGAAGAAGGCCUUCGGGUUGUAAACCCCUUUCAGGAGGGACGAAGGUUCGGCAGUGAAUAGCUGUCCGGACUGACGGUACCUCCACAAGAAGCCCCGGCUAACUACGUGCCAGCAGCCGCCGUAACAC